UUUGUAUACACCGCCCAUCACUCCUACCAGUUUAACGGUCUAGUGAUAUGCUCGAAUCACUAUGAUGUUAUGUGGUUUGCUUCUCAUGAUGCUGUGAGAAGUCCAUUAAACCUUAUCACUUAUAGGAAGGAGGUCAUAAUAAGGUUUCUGUAGGUUAACAUGUGGAAGGUCAUUA
rnacentral:rRNA from 1 species